rnacentral:rRNA from 1 species
GCCCUACGGGGCGCAGCAGGCGCGAAAACUUUACAAUGCGGGAAACCGUGAUAAGGGAACUCUGAGUGUCUGUCAAUGCGGACUGUCCGUAUGUUUAAAAAGCAUGCGAAGAAAGGGCCGGGCAAGACCGGUGCCAGCCGCCGCGGUAAUACCGGCGGCUCGAGUGGUGGCCACGAUUACUGGGCUUAAAGCGUUCGUAGCUGGGUUGUUAAGUCUCUUGGGAAAUCUACCCGCUUAACCGAUAGGCGUC